CCUACGGGAGGCAGCAGUGAGGAAUAUUGGUCAAUGGACGAGAGUCUGAACCAGCCAAGUAGCGUGAAGGAUGACUGCCCUAUGGGUUGUAAACUUCUUUUAUAUGGGAAUAAAAUGUUCCACGUGUGGGAGUUUGUAUGUACCAUAUGAAUAAGGAUCGGCUAACUCCGUGCCAGCAGCCGCGGUAAUACGGAGGAUCCGAGCGUUAUCCGGAUUUAUUGGGUUUAAAGGGAGCGUAGGUGGAUUGUUAAGUCAGUUGUGAAAGUUUGCGACUCAACCGUAAAAUUGCAGUUGAAACUGGCAGUCUUGAGUACAGUAGAGGUGGGCGGAAUUCGUGGUGUAGCGGUGAAAUGCUUAGAUAUCACGAAGAACUCCGAUUGCGAAGGCAGCUCACUGGACUACAACUGACACUGAGGCUCGAAAGUGUGGGUAUCAAACAGGAUUAGAUACCCCAGUAGUC
rnacentral:rRNA from 1 species